rnacentral:rRNA from 1 species
GAUGAACGCUGGCGGCGUGCCUAAUACAUGCAAGUCGAGCGAACGGACGAGAAGCUUGCUUCUCUGAUGUUAGCGGCGGACGGGUGAGUAACACGUGGAUAACCUACCUAUAAGACUGGGAUAACUUCGGGAAACCGGAGCUAAUACCGGAUAAUAUUUUGAACCGCAUGGUUCAAAAGUGAAAGACGGUCUUGCUGUCACUUAUAGAUGGAUCCGCGCUGCAUUAGCUAGUUGGUAAGGUAACGGCUUACCAAGGCAACGAUGCAUAGCCGACCUGAGAGGGUGAUCGGCCACACUGGAACUGAGACACGGUCCAGACUCCUACGGGAGGCAGCAGUAGGGAAUCUUCCGCAAUGGGCGAAAGCCUGACGGAGCAACGCCGCGUGAGUGAUGAAGGUCUUCGGAUCGUAAAACUCUGUUAUUAGGGAAGAACAUAUGUGUAAGUAACUGUGCACAUCUUGACGGUACCUAAUCAGAAAGCCACGGCUAACUACGUGCCAGCAGCCGCGGUAAUACGUAGGUGGCAAGCGUUAUCCGGAAUUAUUGGGCGUAAAGCGCGCGUAGGCGGUUUUUUAAGUCUGAUGUGAAAGCCCACGGCUCAACCGUGGAGGGUCAUUGGAAACUGGAAAACUUGAGUGCAGAAGAGGAAAGUGGAAUUCCACGUGUAGCGGUGAAAUGCGCAGAGAUAUGGAGGAACACCAGUGGCGAAGGCGACUUUCUGGUCUGUAACUGACGCUGAUGUGCGAAAGCGUGGGGAUCAAACAGGAUUAGAUACCCUGGUAGUCCACGCCGUAAACGAUGAGUGCUAAGUGUUAGGGGGUUUCCUCCCCUUAGUGCUGCAGCUAACGCAUUAAGCACUCCGCCUGGGGAGUACGACCGCAAGGUUGAAACUCAAAGGAAUUGACGGGGACCCGCACAAGCGGUGGAGCAUGUGGUUUAAUUCGAAGCAACGCGAAGAACCUUACCAAAUCUUGACAUCCUUUGACAACUCUAGAGAUAGAGCCUUCCCCUUCGGGGGACAAAGUGACAGGUGGUGCAUGGUUGUCGUCAGCUCGUGUCGUGAGAUGUUGGGUUAAGUCCCGCAACGAGCGCAACCCUUAAGCUUAGUUGCCAUCAUUAAGUUGGGCACUCUAAGUUGACUGCCGGUGACAGACCGGAGGAAGGUGGGGAUGACGUCAAAUCAUCAUGCCCCUUAUGAUUUGGGCUACACGCGUGCUACAAUGGACAAUACAAAGGGCAGCGAAACCGCGAGGUCAAGCAAAUCCCAUAAAGUUGUUCUCAGUUCGGAUUGUAGUCUGCAACUCGACUACAUGAAGCUGGAAUCGCUAGUAAUCGUAGAUCAGCAUGCUACGGUGAAUACGUUCCCGGGUCU